rnacentral:rRNA from 1 species
UACGGGGGUGGCAAGCGUUACUCGGAAUUAUUGGGUGUAAAGGGCAAGUAGGCGGUUUAUUAAGCGAGGGGUGAAAUCUUCCGACUCAAUCGGAAAACUGCCUUUCGAACUGGUAGACUUGAGGUUAGAAGAGGGAAACGGAACUAGCAGUGUAAGGGUGAAAUCUGUAGAUAUUGCUAAGAACACCGGCGGCGAAGGCGGUUUCCUGGUCUAAACCUGACGCUAAAUUGCGAAAGCUAGGGUAGCAAACGGAAUUAGAUACUCCGGUAGUCCUAGCCGUAAACGAUGAGUACUAGGUGUUGGUCCUUCGGGAUUAGUGCCGCAGCUAACGCACUAAGUACUCCACCUGGGGACUACGGUCGCAAGGCUAAAACUCAAAGGAAUUGACGGGGACCCGCACAAGCGGUGGAACAUGUGGUUUAAUUCGAUGCUACGCGAAGAACCUCACCUGGACUUGACAUGCUCGUCAUAUUCUCUUGAAAGGGAGAAGUCAUUUAGUUGGACGAUGCACAGGUGCUGCAUGGCUGUCGUCAGCUCGUGUCGUGAGAUGUUGGGUUAAGUCCCGCAACGAGCGCAGCCAUUGCCCUAUGUUGCUACCUACGUUUUCUAGUUUACUAGAUACGGAGCGCACUCUUAGGGGACUGCCCGGGAUAACGGGGAGGAAGGUGGAGAUGACGUCAAGUCAGUA